rnacentral:tRNA from 1 species
UUUUGAGCCUCUUCCCAUGCUUUCAAGCAUGCACGAGACAUAAUAUCUCCUCAAAA